UUUCUAAGUGACCAUAUUGUGGCAGGAAACUCAUGCUGAGGGACUAGCAUAGAAGUGGAUUUUCCUCAUACGUCUUCUUUUAUGCUUUAAACCUUCUACUUCUCAUCCUUACCAUUACACUCUUUGGUACAGGAAGUGCCCACGAACUGUCCACUGGACAAUAAAAGUUCUGGUAAAGAGAACCUUGAACCAGUUCUCUGCUUCCCUCUCGUAAGGAAAAGACCCACCAUGAAACUUUUUGCAGCAGUCAUUCUCGUUAUGGUUUUGCUUCAGAACUUCGAUGUGUUCAUGGUCAGAGAUUAAUCCUGAAGAAGAAGAAUACCAAGGUCUGUGUGCCAGCUGAACUUUCAUGGGUGAAGAAAAUCAUCCUCUGCUUAGAUAAAAAAAAUGGUACCUACAAAUCCUAACAGAAUUAUGACUCGUUUGAAGUUUUGACCAGUUAAACUGCAACAUGUCAAACCAUUCUCCACUCAUCCCUGAAAACCAGGCUAAUUGAAGCAGGGCCUUUUAUAUAUUUAACCUUAGUUGCUUUGGAAUUCUAUAUAUAUAUAUUUAUUGAUAAAAGCCAGCUUUUUAAAUAAUUUUAUUUGUAGCUAAUAUUACAUAAUGUGCACAAAAUAUCCAAUGGAAAAACUGAUUUUUUUUUAAAAUAUUUUGACUCUUCUGUCUUUCGCUGUUGUAAAAAUUGUGGUCUGGUUCCUCUGGCACCCUUUUUUGGGUACCUGAGAGGGUACCAUUUCCAGUUCAUCAUUUCUCCCAACCAUUAUCUCUGAUCCUUUAUGUCUUUUCUGUAAUUUAUACUGGAACGAGUUUUGAACUCACAAUAAAUGAUACUGUGGAGAUCCCCUCCA
rnacentral:lncRNA from 1 species